AGGGAUGACUUGAGGCUGUCCAGCGG
rnacentral:piRNA from 1 species